GAGAUUUCUAGCAUGGCUGACACAAGUAACCAUGGAUCCCUCAUUGAUGAAUGGUUGCCGACCCUACACCAAGCCCAAAGAACUCUCAUGUCAUGCUGAAUGAAAAAUUCAGCUCUCGCUCAAUAUCUGGUCUUUUUAGUGAACAUGGAACCAAUAAGCCCCACGAUCAAUCUGAAAAAGCAGAGAAGUUGUGAAUUCUGCUUUUCUUUACAAUAAAAUGGGGAUAUAACAGCUUUAAGCACAAUGAGAAAUGAGUCCAUCAUUAGUGAGAUCCAAGCCCAGCUAAAGCACAAGAAUGUCACAGUGGAUGUCAAAGCAAAUUCAGACCCUCAUAUUAGUCCUAUUCAGCUCUCAACUACAGUCACAGUCGAGGAACUUGGUUUACCAGGCUUGAAAAACAUAAUGGCCAUUUCUUAUCCACAUCAAGCAUUUGGGAGGGAGGCUUCCACAUGAAUGGGGUUGAAGGGACAUUUCGAGGCAAGCCUUGUGAGGUCGCUUCAAACCCGAGACUUUAGUGGACAACUCUCCUCACCGCAUGAGUGAUUCGAUCACUAACACUCCUUCAGGAACGACAAAGGGGACAACCUCACUGCGUCCUACACUCCUACCAUUUGGCGAACACAGAGAAGGACACAACUGUUGGUAUGGAGGUGACCCGCAACUUCUCAACCAAGGCGAGCAUAGUCACCUUUGGGACAUGUCAUGCACUAGACCCUACCACCACUAUGAAGGCGUGCAACUAAUUGUUAGAAAAAUGUAUUGAUUCAAAGUAUGUUUAGCUGUAGUUUAUAUCUUUCUACCUCCUCUUGUAGAUAGAGUUAGAUUGCAUCACAUAUCUUCUCUUGUAUUCCCAAAUGCAAAGUAAUAUUGGU